CAUAAUCAUUAGUUUUUUAAUUAAAAACUUGUAUGAACGGUUAGACAAAAGAAAUUCUGUCUUCUUUAUUAAACUUGAAAUUAACUUUUAAGUGAAAAGGCUUAAAUUUUUUAAGGGGACGAUAAGACCCUAUAAAGCUUUAUAAUGAAAUAUUAUUUUUUGAAAUAAUUUAUAAAAUAAGAUAGUAGUGACCUUAUUAUGUUGGGGCGACACUGAUAUAAGUAUAUUUAACUGUCAGAAGAAAAAUACAUGAGAUUUAUGAAUAAGUAUAUUGAUCCUAAUUAAAGAUUAAAAGACUAAGUUACUUUAGGGAUAACAGCGUUAUUUCUUUUGAGAGUUCUUAUCGAAAAAGAAGUUUGCGACCUCGAUGUUGAAUUAAAGAAUCUUCAUAGUGCAGUUGCUGUGAGAG
rnacentral:rRNA from 1 species